rnacentral:rRNA from 1 species
AUUGAACGCUGGCGGCAGGCCUAACACAUGCAAGUCGAACGGUAACAGGAAGCAGCUUGCUGCUUUGCUGACGAGUGGCGGACGGGUGAGUAAUGUCUGGGAAACUGCCUGAUGGAGGGGGAUAACUACUGGAAACGGUAGCUAAUACCGCAUAACGUCGCAAGACCAAAGAGGGGGACCUUCGGGCCUCUUGCCAUCGGAUGUGCCCAGAUGGGAUUAGCUAGUAGGUGGGGUAACGGCUCACCUAGGCGGCGAUCCCUAGCUGGUCUGAGAGGAUGACCGGCCACACUGGAACUGAGACACGGUCCAGACUCCUACGGGAGGCAGCAGUGGGGAAUAUUGCACAAUGGGCGCAAGCCUGAUGCAGCCAUGCCGCGUGUAUGAAGAAGGCCUUCGGGUUGUAAAGUACUUUCAGCGGGGAGGAAGGGAGUAAAGUUAAUACCUUGGCUCAUUGACGUUACCCGCAGAAGAAGCACCGGCUAACUCCGUG